rnacentral:rRNA from 1 species
GAUGAACGCUGGCGGCGUGCUUAACACAUGCAAGCCGAACGGUGAACGAGGGAGCUUGCUCCCUCCGGAUCAGUGGCGAACGGGUGAGUAACACGUGAGCAAUCUGCCCUGGACUCUGGGAUAAGCGUUGGAAACGACGUCUAAUACCGGAUACGAGGCGUGGGGGCAUCCCCAACGCCUGGAAAGAACUUCGGUCCAGGAUGAGCUCGCGGCCUAUCAGCUUGUUGGUGAGGUAACGGCGCACCAAGGCGACGACGGGUAGGCGGCCUGAGAGGGGGACCGGCCAAACUGGGACUGAGACACGGCCCAGACUCCUACGGGAGGCAGCAGUGGGGAAUAUUGCACAAUGGGCGCAAGCCUGAUGCAGCAACGCCGCGUGAGGGACGACGGCCUUCGGGUUGUAAACCUCUUUUAGCAGGGAAGAAGCGAAAGUGACGGUACCUGCAGAAAAAGCACCGGCUAACUACGUGCCAGCCGCCGCCGUAAUAC